CCAUAGAGGCUCCAGGGCUGGCGGCUGCUGCAGACGAGUGCCAUACGAGCCUCUGUCACUUACGAGUGACAGCGACUAUUACUUCUGGGCCCCGGGGGGUCCUGCAUACAUCAUUUGACUCAAUAUUCACGGCGCCGAGGAGGCAGAUGUCAGAGGCAGCUGCCGCGGAGACGGUGGAAACAGCGCCCCCUGCCGCUCCUGCUCCUUCCUGCCUCCCGCUCUGCAGACCGGGUCGCCCCCACGAGCUUCCCCUCUGGCCUUGGAACCCCUUCCGGGGAUCUGAGUCUCUCCCGGAGCCCUGCCCACCUGUGGGUGCGCGUUCCUUGAAGGGGGGCGCUUUGGCGAGGGGCGGAGGCUCUGCUGCCAUCAGGACCUACGCGGGACCAGAGGCACCUUGUCCUCAGUCCGGGCUUCUGGGCUGGCGCCCCGGGGCACCCCGCCGGGCCCUCUCUGCUACACUCUGGCCGCCCUCCCGCCCCAACAUCUCCCGCGAGUGCUGGGAGGUUAUUUUGUCUGCAUAAAUUUAUCAUUCAGUCAUGUAUAUUUACUCCCCCUUACCCCCACAUCCCAUGUUUAAGGCUCUUUACAAACAAGAACAGAUAAAAAGGAGAAACAGAGCAAAGCAAAAAAAAAAAAAAAAAAAA